GUGCUUGCUUCUAAACACACGUACUAACAUUGGAACAGUACAGAGAAGAUUCCAUGGCCCUGUAAAAGGAUGACACACAAGUUUAUGAAGCCUUCCAUAUUAAA
ensembl:snRNA U6 U6 spliceosomal RNA